UGGAGAGGAGCCGAAAGCUAAGAAUAUGGACUCCGAUCAUGAAGGUAUAAAUUCUAAUGAAGAUGUUGAACCUACCAUACAUACAAUGCAUACAUUAGCCGACUACUCUAACCCGCAAAUUAUGGAAGUUGGCGAAACUCUGGAGCAUCAGCCUAUUAUAGUUUUGAUUGAUACUAGUAGCACUAACAAUUUUAUGGACAGUAAGACUGUUAACCGAUUGGCCCAC
rnacentral:lncRNA from 1 species